AAGCUACUCCAACCAACGCACACAAUAUCAAGCGAUGUCCAAGCGAACAUUUCUUGCGGUGUUUCUAACUCUGAUCUCGUUCAUCGGGUACACUGCCUUCUGUUCGGCAAGGUCCCGACAGAAGAGUGAAGACGCAGUCCUUGCAAGUGACAUAUAACAUAGACGAGCGUACACAUAAAGUAAGUAAGUGAGUGAGUGGCAAAUGGAGUACGUAAAGCAUGUAAUAAAAAGAAAUUUAACUUAACUGUUCCUACGCUCCUCUCAAUGUGCUGCCGACUCUAUACGCAUUUUCCUUGCGUAAGCCCAGCGAUAUUGGAAGUUUUCAAUAUCUGUGCGCAAACUUUAGCGAUGAGGAGGAGGAUUUGGAGAUUUUACGUGCGCUUUUUCGACAUAAUGCGUAUUUCGCACACGUCAAAUAGUAGACAGCGGUGCAGUUUAAAGCAAGUGCCAGUUUAUGAAAGCCCUUCUAUUUUCAAUAUAUUGUGCAUUUCGCAUUCAACAUAUAUAUGGGACUAAAUGUAAUAUAUAUAGGAACUAAUAUACAUAUAUAUUAUUUCUCCAUGGAGUGAAUGUGCAUCAUUAGACAGGAAUGGAGUCGAUUGGGUCAAUCCUCCUUCACAUCUUGUAUGCGCCAUCUUUGGAUUAGUUCCUUAGGCUCCGGUGCGAGAGGUACAAUGUGCUCCGGGAAUUUUAAAGGACGGGAGGCGAAUCUUUUGUCGGGUACUUUCUAAAGUACAAUUUAUACUUUGUUACAGACGAAACCGACGAAAAUAGUUUAAUGUCGAAAAUUUGGGCUAAUGGAUAUUGUCCUGGAACUUGCAGUUAAGCCACAUUCACACGUUAUAUUUGUACAGUAAUGACUCGAAGGCUGAGACCGUCGUGUUCAUGUCUUCUUCGUUCCUGAGUAUGACCCACAUAACCAUACAUUGUUCCCUUCAACACUUUACUGUCGCAGA
rnacentral:misc_RNA from 1 species